rnacentral:SRP_RNA from 1 species
GCCGGGCAUGGUGGCUCAUGCCUGUAAUCCCAGCACUAUGGGAGACUGAGGUGGGCGGAUCACCUGAGGUCAGGAGUUCUGGACAAGCCUGGCCAACAUGGUGAAACCCCAUCUCUA